AAAGUCGUAACAAGGUCUCCGUAGGUGAACCUGCGGAGGGAUCAUUAGCGAACGGCCCUCUGGGCCCCCGAGCCACGCACCCGUGGAAGCUAGCCCGUGCUUUGGCGCCCUCGUUUGGCGCCGCCCCCAUGCGGCCGACCAGCCCGUGUCUGAAUCGAACCCAUAACUGAAAAAAAACUUUCAACAAAGAAUCUCUUGGCUCUC
rnacentral:misc_RNA from 1 species